rnacentral:lncRNA from 1 species
GGCCUACAUGCUCAAACUUUGGACCAAGAUGAACUAUCAACUCAGAAUCUUAAUCACUCGAUGAAGCACAUUGCUUAAUAAACAUCUCGACCUUGUGGACAGCGUUAAGUCAGGUAGUAAGAUAUUUCUUUCAAUGCCAUGAACCAGGGAAGGCAGUGAAAAGCACAAACCACCAUGAAGGAUGGGGCAAUGUUAGCACAUAUUCAAAGAUUGUGUUUGGUUUAUCACCUGCUAAGAAGAUGUCAAGCAUGCGACCCCGGAGGAGCCUCCAAUGACUGUCCAGAGGGAGGAUUAUCCCAGAAAUAGGGAUGCAAUCCACGGUUCAUAUUAGGCUGUCAACCAAUCAAAACAGCAAGAAGAUAGCGCCGACUAAGAUGCCAUCCCCAAGUGAGUUUGACAUGCCACCCACGUCAACCAGUGUGGAUUCAAAGUUCCCAUAUAACUGGCACUGUUGUACACGUCUUAAUAAGUCGUCAACUCCAUAGUUGAUAUGAGUCGGAUGGUAACUCAUCUAGAA